rnacentral:rRNA from 1 species
UUUAUUGGAGAGUUUGAUCCUGGCUCAGGAUGAACGCUGGCGGCGUGCCUAAUACAUGCAAGUCGAGCGAAUGGAUUAAGAGCUUGCUCUUAUGAAGUUAGCGGCGGACGGGUGAGUAACACGUGGGUAACCUGCCCAUAAGACUGGGAUAACUCCGGGAAACCGGGGCUAAUACCGGAUAACAUUUUGAACCGCAUGGUUCGAAAUUGAAAGGCGGCUUCGGCUGUCACUUAUGGAUGGACCCGCGUCGCAUUAGCUAGUUGGUGAGGUAACGGCUCACCAAGGCAACGAUGCGUAGCCGACCUGAGAGGGUGAUCGGCCACACUGGGACUGAGACACGGCCCAGACUCCUACGGGAGGCAGCAGUAG